GAACUGGAUAAGCGCGGCGUCUAGUUUCGCAGGGAAAGUUUAGGCAGUUGUGUUCACCCCAGACUUCCGGUUCCGGUCCUCGGAAUAGGGCCGUGGCUACUAUGGACGAACCCGAGAUGCAGCUCAAGGGGAAGAAAGUUACUGACAAAUUCACUGAGAGCGUCUACGUCCUGGCCAACGAGCCGUCUGUGGCCCUGUACCGGCUGCAGGAGCACGUGCGCCGCUCUCUGCCUGAGUUGGCCCAGCAUAAGGCUGACAUGCAGCGGUGGGAGGAGCAGAGCCAGGGAGCCAUUUACACCGUGGAGUACGCCUGCAGUGCCGUGAAGAACCUUGUCGACAGCAGCGUCUACUUCCGCAGCGUGGAGGGUCUCCUCAAACAGGCCAUCAGCAUCCGGGACCACAUGAACGCCACGGCCCAGGGCCACAGGUAGCUGCUGGGACUACCCGCCCCUGCUGCCCUCAGCCUCCUUGCUGCAAGGACCUUCGCUGCUCAGCCAGGAACUGCGCCUUCUCGCUCCUUAAACAACUCCCUUUCUUGGUCUCGCAGUGGCUGGUGACUUCCUCUUGUCCUUUGCUGUCUGUAGCGGGAGUUGAGUCAGUCCGCCCCCAGCUCCUGCGCGCUGCUGUGUGCUUGCGCUGGGUGCUGGGGGCAUGGCAGUGACCGAGACAGGUUUGCUCGCAGCCUCACGGAGAGGCACACGGCAACCAGGUAGACACGGAACAGACAAGAACAUUUCAGAUACGUGUGAAGGAGGAGAAGGGGGCCCCCUCUGAGGAGGCGGCAGAGAUGGAAACAGAAGCUUGAACAAAACGCAGACAAAGCCCCGAGGAACCGCUCCCACCCUCCUCAGCCUGAUCCCGGAAGAGACUUGGAGGUGCUUCGGCCCCUCUGACCCAGCCUGACCAAAGCUGGACUCUUUGACACAACCUUAUGGGACUUGGCAGGGACCGAAGACCAAGCAAGUGUGGCCAGCGCAUCCCUCCUGCCUCUGGGCCAGCCAUGAACGUUCUGAGACGAGACUUUGCUGCCCUUGGGUUCUUAGCCGCCCCUCACUGGCCCUGGUCAUGGCCAUGGCCCCUCGGACCAGUAACUGCUGCCACGACCACACGCCUGCUGUGUGUCCAGCUCUGUGCCGGGCACUUCACAGUGCUCAUCCUUCAUCCUCAGACGGCCCUGUAAGGGAGAUGCCGCCCCGAAUACAGAUGGGAGAAGAGAGGGUCUGA